rnacentral:rRNA from 1 species
UACGAAGGGGGCUAGCGUUGCUCGGAAUCACUGGGCGUAAAGGGUGCGUAGGCGGGUCUUUAAGUCAGGGGUGAAAUCCUGGAGCUCAACUCCAGAACUGCCUUUGAUACUGAGGAUCUUGAGUUCGGGAGAGGUGAGUGGAACUGCGAGUGUAGAGGUGAAAUUCGUAGAUAUUCGGAAGAACACCAGUGGCGAAGGCGACUUCCUGGCCUGUUCUUGACGCUGAGGCGCGAAAGCUAGGGGAGCAAACGGG